rnacentral:rRNA from 1 species
CGAAAGCAUGGGUAGCAAACAGGAUUAGAUACCCUGGUAGUCCAUGCCGUAAACGAUGAUUACUAGGUGUGGGAGGAUUGACCCCUUCCGUGCCGCAGUUAACACAAUAAGUAAUCCACCUGGGGAGUACGACCGCAAGGUUGAAACUCAAAGGAAUUGACGGGGGCCCGCACAAGCAGUGGAGUAUGUGGUUUAAUUCGAAGCAACGCGAAGAACCUUACCAGGUCUUGACAUCCCGUGCAUAGUGUAGAGAUACAUGAAGUCCUUCGGGACACGGAGACAGGUGGUGCAUGGUUGUCGUCAGCUCGUGUCGUGAGAUGUUGGGUUAAGUCCCGCAACGAGCGCAACCCUUAUCGUUAGUUACUACGCAAGAGGACUCUAGCGAGACUGCCGUUGACAAAACGGAGGAAGGUGGGGAUGACGUCAAAUCAUCAUGCCCUUUAUGACCUGGGCUACACACGUACUACAAUGGCAAUUAACAAAGAGAAGCGAAGCCGCGAGGUGGAGCAAACCUCAUAAAAAUUGUCUCAGUUCGGAUUGUAGUCUGCAACUCGACUACAUGAAGUUGGAAUCGCUAGUAAUCGCGAAUCAGCAUGUCGCGGUGAAUACGUUCUCGGGCCUUGUACACACCGCCCGUCACACCACGAGAGUUGAUAACACCCGAAGCCGGUGGCCUAACCGCAAGGAAGGAGCUGUCUAAGGUGGGAUUGAUGAUUGGGGUGAAGUCGUAACAAGGUAGCCGUAA